GAAAUGCGAUAAGUAAUGUGAAUUGCAGAAUUCAGUGAAUCAUCGAAUCUUUGAACGCACCUUGCGCUCCUUGGUAUUCCGAGGAGCAUGCCUGUUUGAGUGUCUUGAAGUCAUCGACCCUUCCCGUUUUUGUGCGGGAUGCGGUUGGAGCUGGGGGCGUGCGGCCGCGAGGCCGCUCCCUUCAAAUGCAUCGGUUGGACCUGUGGGCUGAACUCGACUGGGCGUUGUACCAUCCUCGCUCUCCCCGAGACGUUCCCCUUCCGUGUCCUUCCACGACCUGCUGUAGAGCGGCGGUCAAAAACCAAACUUUGAAAUCUGACCUCAAAUCAGGUAGGACUACCCGCUGAACUUAA
rnacentral:misc_RNA from 1 species